rnacentral:rRNA from 1 species
UACGGAGGGUGCAAGCGUUAUCCGGAUUUACUGGGUUUAAAGGGUGCGUAGGUGGAUUGGUAAGUCAGUGGUGAAAUACUACAGCGCAACUGUGGAACUGCCAUUGAUACUAUCAAUCUUGAAUGCAGUGGAGGCAGGCGGAAUGUGUCAUGUAGCGGUGAAAUGCUUAGAUAUGACACAGAACACCUAUUGCGGAGGCAGCUUGCUACACUGUGAUUGACACUGAGGCACGAAAGCGUGGGGAUCAAACAGG